AUUGAACGCUGGCGGCAUGCUUUACACAUGCAAGUCGAACGGUAACAGGCCGCAAGGUGCUGACGAGUGGCGAACGGGUGAGUAAUGCAUCGGAACGUGCCCAGUCGUGGGGGAUAACGCAGCGAAAGCUGCGCUAAUACCGCAUACGAUCUAUGGAUGAAAGCGGGGGACCGUAAGGCCUCGCGCGAUUGGAGCGGCCGAUGUCAGAUUAGGUAGUUGGUGGGGUAAAGGCUCACCAAGCCGACGAUCUGUAGCUGGUCUGAGAGGACGACCAGCCACACUGGGACUGAGACACGGCCCAGACUCCUACGGGAGGCAGCAGUGGGGAAUUUUGGACAAUGGGCGCAAGCCUGAUCCAGCAAUGCCGCGUGCAGGAAGAAGGCCUUCGGGUUGUAAACUGCUUUUGUACGGAACGAAAAGGCUCUGGUUAACACCUGGGGCUCAUGACGGUACCGUAAGAAUAAGCACCGGCUAACUACGUGCCAGCCGCCGCGGUAAAAC
rnacentral:rRNA from 1 species